rnacentral:rRNA from 1 species
CCAAAACGGACCAACCAUUGGCAACUAACGAACUCAAUCCGAGAGAGCAAUGUGAACUACAAGCAUAAACGAGAAGAACUCACAACUUAAUCAUCGUUACCCCCACACUGGAGUGCCAUCAAAGGAAAGACUAAAAGAGAGGGAAGGAACUCGGCAAACACAAGCCUCGCCUGUUUACCAAAAACAUCGCCUCCUGCGACACAGCCAAGUAUAGGAGGUCCAGCCUGCCCAGUGACUACAAGUUCAACGGCCGCGGUAUUUUGACCGUGCAAAGGUAGCGCAAUCACUUGUCUUUUAAAUAAAGACCUGUAUGAAUGGCUAAACGAGGGCUUAACUGUCUCCCCUUUCAAGUCAGUGAAAUUGAUUUACCCGUGCAGAAGCGGGUAUAAUAAUACAAGACGAGAAGACCCUUUGGAGCUUAAGGUACAAAAAUCAACCACGUCAAGCAACUAAAUGAAGAGCAAAAACUUUAUGGAGCAUGAUACUUUACCUUCGGUUGGGGCGACCACGGGGGAAAGAAGAUCCUCCGAGUGGACCGGGACAAACCUCCUAGAACUAAGAGAAACACCUCUAAGCCACAGAACAUCUGACCAAAUAUGAUCCGGCCAUAAAAGCCGAUCAACGAACCAAGUUACCCUAGGGAUAACAGCGCAAUCCUCUCCCAGAGUCCAUAUCGACGAGGGGGUUUACGACCUCGAUGUUGGAUCAGGACAUCCUAAUGGUGCAGCCGCUAUUAAGGGUUCGUUUGUUCAACGAUUAAAGUCCUACGUGAUCUGAGUUCAGACCGG